UUAAUUCUACAACUGUAUAUUAUGAAUCUAUUAACUAUCAAAAUAUUGGAAGUGGGUGUGAAUCCCACGCUGUGCCGCAACGGUGUUUAAGUUUCCAGUAAAGCUGCAACUUAUCAGUCCGAAACAAGUUUUGACGCUAGAAUAUUA
rnacentral:ncRNA from 2 species